rnacentral:lncRNA from 10 species
ACCUCACUGCCUUCGUGAAGGUUGAGCGAUCUCAUCGCCUGGCUUGGUGAGGGGGGGAAACUGAGUCACAAGAAGAUGCAAUGCCCUGGCUAAGAUCACCUGGGCAGUUAGUUAUAAAACGAGUGCCAGAAUUCAGGUCUAUGGAGCCCAAUGCACUGAAGUAUUAUCAAGUAAGUCCCCCAGGCAGCUGGUUUUUGGACAUUUUUGGCAGAGGCUGCAAAUGCAGGUCACCGAAAGCAGCUCAUGCCAGCUCCAGCAGAGAGGGACAGACGCUCAGGUGAUUGGGACAUCCAGGGGUCGGGGCUGGCUGUGGGCUCUGCCAGAACGGGGGCCUGGGGCUGUUUUCUCGCCUCUCUCUCCACCUCC